rnacentral:rRNA from 1 species
AUUGAACGCUGGCGGCAUGCCUUACACAUGCAAGUCGAACGGUAACAGGUCUUCGGAUGCUGAGGAGUGGCGAACGGGUGAGUAAUACAUCGGAACGUGCCCGAUCGUGGGGGAUAACGAAGCGAAAGCUUUGCUAAUACCGCAUACGAUCUACGGAUGAAAGCAGGGGACCGCAAGGCCUUGCGCGAACGGAGCGGCCGAUGGCAGAUUAGGUAGUUGGUGGGAUAAAAGCUUACCAAGCCGACGAUCUGUAGCUGGUCUGAGAGGACGACCAGCCACACUGGGACUGAGACACGGCCCAGACUCCUACGGGAGGCAGCAGUGGGGAAUUUUGGACAAUGGGCGAAAGCCUGAUCCAGUCAUGCCGCGUGCAGGAUGAAGGCCUUCGGGUUGUAAACUGCUUUUGUACGGAACGAAAAGACUCUGGUUAAUACCUGGGGUCCAUGACGGUACCGUAAGAAUAAGCACCGGCUAACUACGUG